rnacentral:rRNA from 1 species
UACAGGCUUAACACAUGCAAGUCGAGGGGAAACGAUAUUGGAAGCUUGCUUCCGAUAGGCGUCGACCGGCGCACGGGUGAGUAACGCGUAUCCAACCUGCCCACCACUUGGGGAUAACCUUGCGAAAGUAAGACUAAUACCCAAUGAUAUCUCUAGGAGACAUCUGAAAGAGAUUAAAGAUUUAUCGGUGAUGGAUGGGGAUGCGUCUGAUUAGCUUGUUGGCGGGGUAACGGCCCACCAAGGCAACGAUCAGUAGGGGUUCUGAGAGGAAGGUCCCCCACAUUGGAACUGAGACACGGUCCAAACUCCUACGGGAGGCAGCAGUGAGGAAUAUUGGUCAAUGGACGAGAGUCUGAACCAGCCAAGUAGCGUGCAGGAAGACGGCCCUAUGGGUUGUAAACUGCUUUUAUAAGGGAAUAAAGUGAGUCUCGUGAGACUUUUUGCAUGUACCUUAUGAAUAAGGACCGGCUAAUUCCGUGCCAGCAGCCGCGGUAAUACGGAAGGUCCGGGCGUUAUCCGGAUUUAUUGGUUUAAAGGGAGCGUAGGCCGGAGAUUAAGCGUGUUGUGAAAUGUAGACGCUCAACGUCUGCACUGCAGCGCGAACUGGUUUCCUUGAGUACGCACAAAGUGGGCGGAAUUCGUGGUGUAGCGGUGAAAUGCUUAGAUAUCACGAAGAACUCCGAUUGCGAAGGCAGCUCACUGGAGCGCAACUGACGCUGAAGCUCGAAAGUGCGGGUAUCGAACAGGAUUAGAUACCCUGGUAGUCCGCACGGUAAACGAUGGAUGCCCGCUGUUGGUCUGAAUAGGUCAGCGGCCAAGCGAAAGCAUUAAGCAUCCCACCUGGGGAGUACGCCGGCAACGGUGAAACUCAAAGGAAUUGACGGGGGCCCGCACAAGCGGAGGAACAUGUGGUUUAAUUCGAUGAUACGCGAGGAACCUUACCCGGGCUUGAAUUGCAGAGGAAGGAUUUGGAGACAAUGACGCCCUUCGGGGGCUCUGUGAAGGUGCUGCAUGGUUGUCGUCAGCUCGUGCCGUGAGGUGUCGGCUUAAGUGCCAUAACGAGCGCAACCCCUCUCCUUAGUUGCCAUCAGGUCAAGCUGGGCACUCUGGGGACACUGCCACCGUAAGGUGUGAGGAAGGUGGGGAUGA